UGCGUAGGGUGCAAGCGUUAAUCGGAAUUACUGGGCGUAAAGCGUGCGCAGGCGGUUUUGUAAGUCUGUCGUGAAAUCCCCCGGGCUCAACCUGGGAAUUGCGAUGGAGACUGCAAGGCUAGAGUUUGGCAGAGGGGGGUAGAAUUCCACGUGUAGCAGUGAAAUGCGUAGAUAUGUGGAGGAACACCGAUGGCGAAGGCAGCCCCCCUGGGUCAAGACUGACGCUCAUGCACGAAAGCGUGGGGAGCAAACAGG
rnacentral:rRNA from 1 species